GAUGAACGCUGGCGGCGUGCCUAAUACAUGCAAGUCGAGCGAACAGAUGAGGAGCUUGCUCCUCUGACGUUAGCGGCGGACGGGUGAGUAACACGUGGAUAACCUACCUAUAAGACUGGGAUAACUUCGGGAAACCGGAGCUAAUACCGGAUAAUAUAUUGAACCGCAUGGUUCAAUAGUGAAAGACGGUUUUGCUGUCACUUAUAGAUGGAUCCGCGCCGCAUUAGCUAGUUGGUAAGGUAACGGCUUACCAAGGCAAAGAUGCGUAGCCGACCUGAGAGGGUGAUCGGCCACACUGGAACUGAGACACGGUCCAGACUCCUACGGGAGGCAGCAGUAGGGAAUCUUCCGCAAUGGGCGAAAGCCUGACGGAGCAACGCCGCGUGAGUGAUGAAGGUCUUCGGAUCGUAAAACUCUGUUAUUAGGGAAGAACAAAUGUGUAAGUAACUAUGCACGUCUUGACGGUACCUAAUCAGAAAGCCACGGCUAACUACGUG
rnacentral:rRNA from 1 species